CCUGUUUGAGAAUCUAAAGUAUUCUUUUUCCCUAGUGACUGUCAGAACAGACCUUGGUCUGGUUAUGAUACCACUAGGGAAAGAUUUGAGGCUUCGCUCUUACCCAGCGUGCCUUUAAAACUAUAGCUGUCUAAGCUAUCGCUGCAUAGCGCUUCGCAGAACAGUAUGUGAAUGAACCUAUUGGUUUCCCUAAUGCUGGCUAUGCUGGUGCUGUUAGUGUAGUGGUCUGGGUUUAGUCCCAAGCAUAGGCACUCAACUAUGAAGUAAAGGUCCGACUAAGUCGUGUCCAAUACUGAACCAUGGUCUCAAAUCAGGUAGGAGGACCCGCUGAACUUAAGCAUAUCAAUAAGCGGAGGAAAAGAAACUAACAAGGAUUCCCCUAGUAACGGNGAGUGAAGCGGGAACAGCUCAAAUUUGAAAUCUCACUGUUUCGCAGUGCNAAUUGUAGUUUAGAGAAGCGUUUUCUGAGGCAUUCUCGGUACAAGUUCUUUGGAACAAGACUCAUAGAGGGUGAAAAUCCCGUCUUUGAUCGAGAGUCUGUCUCUAUGUGAUACGUUUUCCAAGAGUCGGUUUGUUUGGGAAUGCAGACCACAAUGGGGUGGUAAAUACCAUCUAAAGCUAAAUAUUGGCGAGAGACCGAUAGCGAACAGUACCGUGAGGGAAGAUGAAAAGAACUUUGAAAAGAGAGUUAAUAGUACGUG
rnacentral:rRNA from 1 species